rnacentral:rRNA from 2 species
UCAAAUUUGAAAUCUGGCUUCGGCCCGAGUUGUAAUUUGUAGAGGAUGCUUUUGGUGCGGUGCCUUCUGAGUUCCCUGGAACGGGACGCCUUAGAGGGUGAGAGCCCCGUAAAGUUGGACACCAAGCCUAUGUAAAGCUCCUUCGACGAGUCGAGUAGUUUGGGAAUGCUGCUCAAAAUGGGAGGUAAAUUUCUUCUAAAGCUAAAUACCGGCCAGAGACCGAUAGCGCACAAGUAGAGUGAUCGAAAGAUGAAAAGCACUUUGAAAAGAGGGUUAAAAAGUACGUGAAAUUGUUGAAAGGGAAGCGCUUAUGACCAGACUUGUGCCCUGCGGAUCAUCCAGCCUUCUGGCUGGUGCACUUCGCUUGGUUCAGGCCAGCAUCGGUUUUCUGAGGGGGAUAAAAGCUUCAGGGACGUGGCUCCUCCGGGAGCGUUAUAACCUGUUGCAAAAUACC